UGAGUAACACGUGGGCAAUCUGCCCUGCACUUCGGGAUAAGCCUGGGAAACUGGGUCUAAUACCGGAUAGGACCUUUAGACGCAUGUCUUUUGGUGGAAAGCUUUUGCGGUGUGGGAUGGGCCCGCGGCCUAUCAGCUUGUUGGUGGGGUGAUGGCCUACCAAGGCGACGACGGGUAGCCGGCCUGAGAGGGUGUCCGGCCACACUGGGACUGAGAUACGGCCCAGACUCCUACGGGAGGCAGCAGUGGGGAAUAUUGCACAAUGGGCGCAAGCCUGAUGCAGCGACGCCGCGUGGGGGAUGACGGCCUUCGGGUUGUAAACCUCUUUCACCAUCGACGAAGGUCCGGGUUUUCUCGGAUUGACGGUAGGUGGAGAAGAAGCACCGGCCAACUACGUGCCAGCAGCCGCGGUAAUACGUAGGGUGCGAGCGUUGUCCGGAAUUACUGGGCGUAAAGAGCUCGUAGGUGGUUUGUCGCGUUGUUCGUGAAAUCUCACGGCUUAACUGUGAGCGUGCGGGCGAUACGGGCAGACUAGAGUACUGCAGGGGAGACUGGAAUUCCUGGUGUAGCGGUGGAAUGCGCAGAUAUCAGGAGGAACACCGGUGGCGAAGGCGGGUCUCUGGGCAGUAACUGACGCUGAGGAGCGAAAGCGUGGGGAGCGAACAGGAUUAGAUACCCUGGUAGUCCACGCCGUAAACGGUGGGUACUAGGUGUGGGUUUCCUUCCUUGGGAUCCGUGCCGUAGCUAACGCAUUAAGUACCCCCGCCUGGGGGAGUACGGGCCGCAAGGCUAAAACUCAAAGGAAUUUGACGGGGGGCCCGCACAA
rnacentral:rRNA from 1 species